CCAGCAGCCGCGGUAAAACGUAGGACACAAACGUUAUCCGGAGUUACUGGGCGUAAAGGGCGUGUAGGCGGAUCGGUAAGUCUACUCUGAAAGCUCCUGGCUAAACUGGGAGAGGCGAGUGGAGACUGUCGGUCUAGAGUGAGGAAGAGGAAAGUGGAAUUCCGCGUGUAGUGGUGAAAUGCGUAGAGAUGCGGAGGAACACCAGUGGCGAAAGCGGCUUUCUGGUCCUUAACUGACGCUGAGGCGCGAAAGCAUGGGGAGCGAACGGGAUUAGAAACCCCGGUAGUCCAUGCCGUAAACGAUGUUCACUAAACGUUCGUUUCCCGCGAGGGAAGCGGGUGUUGAAGCUAACGCAGUAAGUGAACCGCCUGGGGAGUACGGUCGCAAGGCUAAAACUCAAAGGAAUUGACGGGGGCCCGCACA
rnacentral:rRNA from 1 species